rnacentral:rRNA from 1 species
UGCCGAGGGUAGACCUCCCACCCUUGUGUAUUAUUACUUUGUUGCUUUGGCGAGCUGCCUUUGGGCCUUGUAUGCUCGCCAGAGAAUACCAAAACUCUUUUUAUUAAUGUCGUCUGAGUACUAUAUAAUAGUUAAAACUUUCAACAACGGAUCUCUUGGUUCUGGCAUCGAUGAAGAACGCAGCGAAAUGCGAUAAGUAAUGUGAAUUGCAGAAUUCAGUGAAUCAUCGAAUCUUUGAACGCACAUUGCGCCCCUUGGUAUUCCGGGGGGCAUGCCUGUUCGAGCGUCAUUUCAACCCUCAAGCUUAGCUUGGUAUUGAGUCUAUGUCAGUAAUGGCAGGCUCUAAAAUCAGUGGCGGCGCCGCUGGGUCCUGAACGUAGUAAUAUCUCUCGUUACAGGUUCUCGGUGUGCUUCUGCCAAAACCCAAAUUUUUCUAUGGUUGACCUCGGAUCAGGUAGGGAUACCCGCUGAACUUAAGCAUAUCAAUAAGCGGAGG